GCAUAUCAAUAAGCGGAGGAAAAGAAACUAACAAGGAUUCCCCUAGUAACUGCGAGUGAAGCGGGAAAAGCUCAAAUUUUGAAUCUGGCGGUCUUUGCAGACCGUCCGAGUUGUAAUCUAGAGAAGCGUCUUCCGCGCCGGCCCGUGUACAAGUCUCCUGGAAGGGAGCGUCUUAGAGGGUGAGAAUCCCGUCUCUGACACGGACCACCGGGGCUAUGUGAUGCGCUCUCGACGAGUCGAGUUGUUUGGGAAUGCAGCUCAAAAAGGGUGGUAAACUCCAUCUAAAGCUAAAUAUUGGCGAGAGACCGAUAGCGAACAAGUACCGUGAG
rnacentral:rRNA from 1 species